UGAGCAGGUUUUCUGUGUCUGAGCCCCAGAGA
rnacentral:piRNA from 1 species